CUACGGGAUGCUGCAGUGGGGAAUAUUGCACAAUGGAGGAAACUCUGAUGCAGCGACGCCGCGUGGAGGAUGACACUUUUCGGAGCGUAAACUCCUUUUAUAUAGGAAGAAGAUGACGGUACUAUAUGAAUAAGCGCCGGCUAACUCCGUGCCAGCAGCCGCGGUAAUACGGAGGGCGCAAGCGUUACUCGGAAUCACUGGGCGUAAAGAGCGUGUAGGCGGAUUAAAAAGUCAGAAGUGAAAUCCUAUAGCUUAACUAUAGAACUGCUUCUGAAACUCUUAAUCUAGAAUAUGGGAGAGGUAGAUGGAAUUUCUGGUGUAGGGGUAACAUCCGUAGAGAUCAGAAGGAAUACCGAUUGCGAAGGCGAUCUACUAGAACAUUAUUGACGCUGAGACGCGAAAGCGUGGGGAGCAAACAGGAUUAGAUACCCUCGUAGUC
rnacentral:rRNA from 1 species